AGUGGCUGCGCGUGAGGGGCGUGGUGGUUCACGCCUGUAAUCCCAACACUUUGGGAAGCCGAGGUGGGCAGAUCAUUUGAGCUGAGGAGUUCAAGACCAGCCUGGACAACAUGCUGAAACCCCAUCUCUACUAAAACUACAAAGAAUUAGCCAGGCAUGGUAGCACAUGCCUGUAGUCCCAGCCACUCAGGAGCCUAAGGCAGGAGAAUUGCUUGAACUUCCCCAGCUUCAAGAGGAAGAGUCUGCAGUGAGCCGAGAUGGCGCCACUGCACUCCAGCCUGGGUGACAAGAGUAAAACUCCCUCUCAAAACAAACAAACAAACCAAAAAAACAAAUAGCAACAGCAACCACAAUCAUCAUCACCAUCAAGGCUGGAACAAGGAUGAGGCAGGCAGGCUCUGAUAGCAACAGGAGGAAGCAGACCAAGGAGGGAGAGAAAGGAAGGCAGAGAAGGGGAAAAAAAAACACAAAUGAUAAUAAUAGAUGCUGACAUUUACGGAGCACUUACUAUGUGCUGGGAACCAUGCUGACGGCACACCGAAUCCACUGAACAGGUGGAUCUCUUUGGGUUUUGGAAUAACAAAAAAGGGACUGUACAUGGAUAUUUCCAAGCUGGAACCGAGGCACUUUCUAGACGAAGGCAGCCUUAUCCCCAGGAGAUGAUUGAAAAUGUAAGAACUAUUCUGAGCCUGCAGGCCAUAGCCAAAGAGGACCUACUGUUAAGUUUUCAAGACCACCCAGAAAGAAAUUUGAAGUUGGGUUUAUAUCCUUAAUCCCUCAGUUAGAAAAAAAAGAAAAGUGAAGAAACUGCAUCUCCAAGAUCCUGCUAUAUCAACUUCAGUUUUUUGAAGUUAAAUUUGAUUUUUAAAUCCCUUGGCUGAUGAGACCUGUGUGGGUUUUUUUUUGUUGUUUUUUUGUUUUGUUUUGUUUUGUUUUAUCAUUGUACCUCUAUUUUAAAAAUAGAGACUUGUGGUUCUUUUUCCAAAAGCAGUCCAACAGAAAGUGAAUGGUGGUCAAUGCAUAAUAAAAUGAGAGUUACCUUUUGA